GUAGUCAUGGUAAUACAGCAUUAUAUAGUUCAACAUUCCAGACUAAUUUAGAACAGUGGCUGGUGACUAAAAGAGGAGAUGGUUAAAGAAAAAUGAGACCAGUAAAAUUCAGACAACAGUACUGUUGCUAGGUUCUUUCAGCAUUUUAUUGGUGAACACAAACAUGGAUUCUCAACACAAGUAUUAACUUAAGCUUGUUCCUUUGAAUCUUGUUUUUAAAAGUCAAGUUUCAGCUGCAGGACAUAUGAGUCCCUUUCCACGGCAGAGGGAACAUGACCUGGGUAACUUGCUGAGUUGUCCUAGAGUUACAUGGCAUCCUGGGAGCCAGCCUAAGCUAUUAGCCUACUGGAAGAAAUCCAGCAUGUUCCAGGACUGAGGUGUGAAAGCAUCGUUGACAAGAGAUUACACAAACACUUUUACUGUUACACAACAGCCUUUUGGCUGUUUUCCUAACUAGUGAUCAGAAAGUCAGAAUGUCAAUUGUGAAUAGACCAUCAGAGUUUAUAUUUCAUUACAGAACAUGUCAGAGGUUAGAUAGUCCCUAUGGCAUUUUAAAAGUUCUGAAUGUUGUUAUAGUGCACACCAGAAUCAACUUUUUUGCCUUCUUAAACUAUAUCUAUGCAUGUUUAUCUAGAAUAAAAAUUCGAGUCUUGCACAUCUAGAAUGAAUUGAGGAACCAAUUAUCCAGAUUAUUUCUGAAUAAUUCCAUACAAAAUAAAAAGGUACACUCAUACCUUGCCUUGGAAAACAGAGAA